rnacentral:sRNA from 13 species
ACUAAAGCAAUCUCUCUUGUUUAUUUUAAACACCUUCAGUAGAGUUUGGGAUGGCUUAUGUUGGAUUCGCAUCGCCUGCGUCCUAGACUUGACUCUGUAGGACCGUUCUGUCAUCCCUGACAAUCACAAUGUUACCGACCUUCAAAUUGGUUUCGUCUUGUCUCCAUUUGGAAAGUGAUUGUAUGUGGGAGAGCCAGUCUGAACUGAAUCGUUUCCAAAACUGACAUAGGAUACGUUGUCCGCCCAGGAAUGGAGCGUUAAGAGGCUUAGCCUGACUGCUUUCUGCUGGGAGGGCAAGCAUCGAUGUCCCCGAUGAGGAAGUGUGCAGAAAUUAGGUCUUGCAUAUCAUCCUUGUCUGCAAUUAAAGGACACACUGGUGUGGAAUUAAAGCAUGCUUUUAUUUAUUUAUUUUGCUGUCAUUGGGCUUCCUUGAAAGGAACGAUAAAGAUCAGUUUUUACGCGUUUAACAUUUGCUUCCCAAAAUCCUCCAAAAUUCGGGUUGUGGAGAGGAUUGAAGUGUCACUGAAUCUAACGCUUCGUGAGUUCUGGAAUUACCUCGUCAUUGACUUCUUGGCGGAAGUUUGGUCCACAGUUGUAGAGCCUGAUCUGCAGCGAUGCAAUUAGUACCGCAAUCACUGUACAUUUCUCGAACCAGUCCUCUUCGGCUGAUAAAACGCUUGCUUGCCGUUGACAACCCAAAAUGCGUUUCUUAGCCUCCCUCGAACCUUCAUGAUUCCUUGGUCGUCCAUGAGUGGUGGCAGCAAGUCUUGCUUGUAGCCGGCUGCUUCCUCCACAAAUGCUGUACGUUGAACUAUUCGGAUCAAAGCGAACAGCGCCCUUUUGAAUUCUGACACUUGUAUUGAUCCGGUGAGUCGUUAAUUUUCGUUGCUCCGAGCAUUGUGAACAAAUCUGUGGAUAUCACCGGUGCAGAUUUAUUUGUUCUUUUAGGAAUUUGGCAGGAUCUGGAGGGGUAAUUUUCACCUGGGACCACUGGGUAGGAACACGACGCCACUUAUAAUACGAUUACGGCGACCAACCAGAAGUCUACAGAAGCGGUUAUUUUGGGUACGUGCAGUUGUUUCUGGACUCAUGUUACGAAUAUGGUAGAAAGGACGGCUGCCGGUAGUUCCACCCUAGGUCGACUUGGUUUGACCCGACUGCGUGUAAAUUGGCGUGUGUUUUCUCGUGUAUGUCCAGAGCUUGAAAGUAUUCGCACGUUGCAUAUGCAGAGGACGAUCCAUCGAAAAACAUAUGUAACUGGAGAGACUACUUUGCUCAAGUCGAAUCCAAGCCAGCGAGCGUAUCUGGUAAUGAAUCAUCCCAGUCCAGUGCUCGGUAACUGCCAUCGGCUUGCUGAACGUGGAAGUUCUAUAUAUCUUUUAGGAGGAUCUCUGACAUGACAAUCAUGGGAUAACAGUUUGGAAUGGGUAGUAUUAAUCUUAAACUUGAUUUGGAAGCCAUAUUAGUCAUGAUUUGUGUGUUGGCCCGACCAAGGAGAAGACAGAGUUUCAGAUUAAAGUCGCUUUAUUGUAGUA